rnacentral:rRNA from 1 species
GACGAAGGUGGCGAGCGUUGUUCGGAAUCACUGGGCAUAAAGCGCACGUAGGUGGCGGUGUAAGUCGGGUGUGAAAUCCCUCGGCCUAACCGAGGAACUGCGCCCGAUACUGCGUCGCGUUGAGGGUCAAAGGGGUGUAUGGAAUUCCCGGUGGAGCGGUGAAAUGCGUUGAUAUCGGGAGGAACGCCGGCGGCGAAAGCGGUACACUGGUUGACUUCUGACACUCAUGUGCGAAAGCCAGGGGAGCAAACGGG